rnacentral:rRNA from 1 species
UGGGCAGCGGCCAGUCUAAGUUCCUUGGAACGGGACGUCAUAGAGGGUGAGAAUCCCGUAUGCGACUGGCUGGCACCCGUCACGUAGCUCUUUCGACGAGUCGAGUUGUUUGGGAAUGCAGCUCUAAAUGGGUGGUAAAUUCCAUCUAAAGCUAAAUACCGGCCAGAGACCGAUAGCGCACAAGUAGAGUGAUCGAAAGAUGAAAAGCACUUUGGGAAAGAGAGUUAAACAGCACGUGAAAUUGUUGAAAGGGAAGCGCAUGCGACCAGACUUGUCGGCGGCGUUCCGCCGGUCUUCUGACCGGUCCACUCGUCGUCGGCAGGCCAGCAUCGCGUGGGCGCGCUGGACAAAGGCGCUGGGAAUGUGGCCCCUCGGGGUGUUAUAGCCCAGCGCACAAUACGGCGCCGCCCGCGCGAGGUCCGCGCUUCGGCUAGGAUGCUGGCGUAAUGGUCGUAUGCGGCCCGUCUUGAAACACGGACCAAGGAGUCUAACAUCUGUGCGAGUGUUCGGGUGUCAAACCCCUACGCGGAAUGAAAGUGAACGGAGGUGGGAGCUUCGGCGCACCAUCGACCGAUCCUGAUGUCCUCGGAUGGAUUUGAGUAAGAGCAUAGCUGUUGGGACCCGAAAGAUGGUGAACUAUGCCUGAAUAGGGUGAAGCCAGACUCUUACUAGGGUGGAGGCUCGCAGCGGUUCUGACGUGCAAAUCGAUCGUCAAAUUUGGGUAUAGGGGCGAAAGAC